GAUGAAGAACGCAGCGAAAUGCGAUAAGUAGUGUGAAUUGCAGAAUUCAGUGAAUCAUCGAAUAUUUGAACGCACAUUGCGCCCUUUGGUAUUCCAAAGGGCAUGCCUGUUCGAGCGUCAUUUGUACCCUCAAGCUUUGCUUGGUGUUGGGCGUCUUGUCUCUAGCUUUGCUGGAGACUCGCCUUAAAGUAAUUGGCAGCCGGCCUACUGGUUUCGGAGCGCAGCACAAGUCGCACUCUCUAUCAGCAAAGGUCUAGCAUCCAUUAAGCCUUUUUUUCAACUUUUGACCUCGGAUCAGGUAGGGAUACCCGCUGAACUUAAGCAUAUCAAUAAGCGGAGGA
rnacentral:misc_RNA from 1 species